rnacentral:rRNA from 1 species
CAGUCGCCGCGGGAAUACGUAGGUGGCAAGCGCUGUCCGGAAUUAUUGGGCGUAAAGGGCUCGCAGGCGGUUUCUUAAGUCUGAUGUGAAAGCCCCCGGCUUAACCGGGGAGGGUCAUUGGAAACUGGGAGACUUAGAGUGCAGAAGAGGAGAGUGGAAUUCCAUGUGUAGCGGUGAAAUGCGUAGAUAUAUGGAGGAACACCAGUGGCGAAGGCGACUCUCUGGUCUGUAACCGACGCUGAGGCGCGAAAGCGUGGGGAGCAAACAGGAUUAGAUACCCCCGUAGUCCCUGUCUCUUAUU